GCCCAGUGCUCUGAAUGUUAAAGCGAAGAAAUUCGACCAAGCGCGGGUAAACGCGGGAGUAACUAUGACUCUCUUAAGGUAGCCAAAUGCCUCGUCAUCUAAUUAGUGACGCGCAUGAAUGGAUUAACGAGAUUCUCACUGUCCCUACUUACACCCCCGGCGAAACCACAGCCAAGGGAACGGGCUUGGCGGAAUCGGCGGGGAAAGAAGACCCUGUUGAGCUUGACUCUAGUCGAACGUCGAGGAACAGCACGGACGAACGUAGCAUAGGUGGGAGGCUCCGGCCGAACCUGAAAUACCACCGUCUCCGUCGUUGUUCUUCUCAUUUUGGUGGUGUAGGGAUGGGGCGAAGCCCCUUUUUCUGGAGACGGCCGCGACGCGCGCCCGUCCGGGCUCCGUCGCUCGCGCGAGCGAGCGGCGGGGUCCGGCAGGCCUCCGCCCGCGGCGCCUAAUCCGAAGACGUCGUUCGGUGGGGAGUUUGGCUGGGGCGGCACAUCCGUUAAAAGGCAACGCGGGUGUCCAAAGGGGAGCUCGGCGAGAAGGGAAAUCUCGCGUCGAACGAAAGGG
rnacentral:rRNA from 1 species